GACGAACGCUGGCGGCGUGCUUAACACAUGCAAGUCGAGCGGAAAGGCCCUUCGGGGUACUCGAGCGGCGAACGGGUGAGUAACACGUGAGUAAUCUGCCCUUGGCUUUGGGAUAACUACCGGAAACGGUGGCUAAUACCGGAUACGACAACCGUCUGCAUGGGCUGGUUGUGGAAAGUUUUUUCGGCCAGGGAUGUGCUCGCGGCCUUUCAGCUUGUUGGUGGGGUAAUGGCCUACCAAGGCUUCGACGGGUAGCCGGCCUGAGAGGGUGACCGGCCACACUGGGACUGAGACACGGCCCAGACUCCUACGGGAGGCAGCAGUGGGGAAUAUUGGACAAUGGGCGGAAGCCUGAUCCAGCAACGCCGCGUGAGGGAUGACGGCCUUCGGGUUGUAAACCUCUUUCAGUACCGACGAAGCGCCGAUGAUGGUGGUGACGGUAGGUACAGAAGAAGCACCGGCCAACUACGUG
rnacentral:rRNA from 1 species